rnacentral:rRNA from 1 species
UAGGGAAUAUUGGACAAUGGGGGCAACCCUGAUCCAGCCAUGCCGCGUGAGUGAAGAAGGCCCUCGGGUUGUAAAGCUCUUUUGUCCGGAAAGAAAAGCUUCGGGUUAAUACCCCGGGGUUCUGACGGUACCGGAAGAAUAAGCACCGGCUAACUUCGUGCCAGCAGCCGCGGUAAUACGAAGGGUGCAAGCGUUACUCGGAAUUACUGGGCGUAAAGCGUGCGUAGGUGGUUGUUUAAGUCUGAUGUGAAAGCCCUGGGCUCAACCUGGGAAUGGCAUUUGAAACUGGGCAGCUAGAGUGCGGUAGAGGGUAGUGGAAUUCCCGGUGUAGCAGUGAAAUGCGUAGAGAUCGGGAGGAACAUCUGUGGCGAAGGCGACUGCCUGGACCAGCACCGACACUGAGGCACGAAAGCGUGGGGAGCAAACA